rnacentral:ncRNA from 1 species
GGGCAAAUCAGAUGAAAAUCUGAGACGCAAAGCCAAAGGAGCUAAAGUUAGACAGAUAUCUGACCAUGCCAGCCGGUUGCCA